rnacentral:rRNA from 1 species
UAGGGAAUCUUCCAGCAAUGGGCGCAAGCCUGAUGGAGCAACGCCGCGUGAAUGAUGAAGGCCUUCGGGUUGUAAAAUUCUGUCUUCUGUGAAGAAACCAGCAUGAGAGUGGAAAGCAUCAUGUC